rnacentral:lncRNA from 1 species
GAAGAAAGCUGAAAACACACUGAGGAUUAUGGGAGAGGGGCAAGUGCAUGAAGCUUCUCAAUGACAUACAGACACUCUAAAAGCUCAAGAGAUCAAUUAUUCAACUUCAAGAACUGAAAUUUGAACACAGAUUUUGAGCUUCCAAAUCAGCAGCUACACAGGGAUAUUCAUCCAAGCAGAAAGAUAAUACCAGAGUUCCGA